AUGUUUGGAGCUCCGGUCCUCACGAAAACAAGUGCCAACCGCCAUAUCGGACGGCGAACCCCACAUCCGUCUCCAGCUGCCUGCCUGCCUGCCAAUAGUUUCUACGGCUAUAUAAUCUCCCGCCGUCGCAUAACCGAAAUCCCCAACCGCUCUACCAAAUCAGAGACCAUGGAGGAGUUCAACAACAUGGAGAUGAUUGAGGCUCUGUUGGAGGACGACUCCGACGAUGACCUCAAGCUGCCCGAGCCCGAGGAGCAGCCGCAGCACCUCGGCCUCCCCCUGCCGCAGCACCUCGGCCAGCAGGGCGCCCUCCCGGUCCCGCAUCCCGCGGCGGUCGCUGACGGUGGCGGGUUCCUCCGACCGGUCGCCGCCUCCAACGGGUUCCUGCCCCCGAGCCUCGGGUACUACCCUUCGCUCCCCUCGCCGCGCGCCCCGCCGGGCGCCGAUUACUUCACUUCCCUUUCCUCGCCGCGCGGCCCGCCCGGUACCGAGUACCUCGCUUCGCUUCCCUCGCCGCACGCCACGCCGGGCGCCGACUGCUUCGCUUCGCUUCCCUCGCCGCACGUCCCGCCUGGCGCCGACUGCUUCGCUUCGCUUCCUUCGCCGCACGUCCCGCCUGGCGCCGACCAGCAGCAGCUCCUUCCGCCGCACCCUCAGCAAGACCAGUUCGUCUCGCACGCGGGGCAUUACAGCCCCUACUACCCACGGGUCCCACCGGGCGCCGCCGUCUACUACGGCCCGCGCGGCGGCGACGCUUACUACGGCCCGCGCGGCGGCGACGCCUACUACGGUCCGCGCGGCGGCGAUUCCUACUACGGCGCACCCCCUGCCUCGGUGGGGCAUCAUCACCACAACGUCCCCAUCGGAUCCGUGGUCUCUGCCCAGAUGGCGCUCGUGGAGACCUCGGCGCGGAGGCAGCAGCAGGAGGGGCACCCGCACGCGGCCCAGACAUCGCGCCUGCCGCGGCACCUCGACAUUGGGGCGGCUUCGACAUCGAGCCGUCCAAGGCCAAGCAACUUCACCUCGUCUAUUCGAAGGGAUCUUAUCAAUCGGAAGGACGUCGGGCCGCUGCUUACAUCCACUCUGUCAGCUGAACAAGUUGUGUGCCUGCUUCAAUCAAGGGACGACAAAGUGCAGCGCAUUGUGCUCGGCCACGUCAGGUCACGUAUCGGCACUAUGAUGGCCAACAAAGAGGGCAGCAAGGUGUUCCUCGCGCUAGUUCAUAACUCAAGAGGGGACUCGCAGGUCCUUGAGUCAAUUGUACAAGGGGUGGCGGGGGCCCCUGCGCUGAGAACAAAAAACAAUGAAGAAUUUGACAACUGGAUAAACUCUCUAAGGUCGGUGAUCACAGCGGUGGCCGAUCAACCCUUACUGAUAAAGAUGCUGCUCAACAGUUUGCUCAACAAAAAGCUCAUGGACAGCGCCCGAGAAGAGGAAUUGACUAAGCAUCUCUUUAACAUCGUGUCCACCGAGAUUCUAUGCGAGCAUGGCAUCGAGUGCUUGACCAGCAACAGAGAAUGUGCAAGGCAUGUGUCAGGGUUUUUGAUCGAGCUUUAUGGGCGUGCUUCAGGAAAAUUUCUGAGAGAUAUUGAAGACCUACUAAUUGAGAAUGCCAUGGGCUUGGCGGUCGGAGCCUACAGCAAUUAUUUGCUCCAGCACGUACUCAGGAAAUGCAGCCCUGAGAUGAAGAAGCGACUCGUGGAGAAGCUGUCACAGGACAUUGUCUGUUUGUGUGCAGAUCAGCAGGGGGUAUCCGUGAUGCAGUGUUACUUCAAGCUACCUGAUGCGUCCCUUGACACUGAAACGAUGAGUCUUGUUCUGGAUUCACUGAUCGGCCUCAGUGACGAUCGACUUUCUGCGAUGGUAAGCGGAACUCAUUCAAGUACCGUCAUCUGUGAGGCACUAAAGAAGAGGCAGUGCAGUCAUGAGCUGAACGCCAAGGUGUGUGCACUUGCAUUAAGGAUCAACCAGCUUCCGGAGGUCGCCCUACAAGAGAACGAGUCGUCCAGCGCGGUUCUGCGGUUUGCCGCCCGAGCGCUAAGAUUCGUCAAUCCCAACAUCCCCAACCUCCACAACAAUUAG
rnacentral:rRNA from 1 species